rnacentral:rRNA from 1 species
GAUCAUGGCUCAGGAUGAACGCUGGCGGCGUGCCUAAUACAUGCAAGUCGAACGCUUCACUUCGGUGAAGAGUGGCGAACGGGUGAGUAAUACAUAAGUAACCUGGCAUCUACAGGGGGAUAACUGGUGGAAACGUCAGCUAAGACCGCGUAGGUGUAGAGAUCGCAUGAACUCUACAUGAAAAGUGCUACGGGACUGGUAGAUGAUGGACUUAUGGCGCAUUAGCUUAG